GGGUGAUUAGCUCAGUGGUAGAGCACUGCCUUCACACGGCAGGGGUCGCAGGUUCGAACCCUGCAUCACCCA
rnacentral:tRNA from 1 species